GACGAACGCUGGCGGCGUGCUUAACACAUGCAAGUCGAACGGAAAGGCCCUGCUUUUGUGGGGUGCUCGAGUGGCGAACGGGUGUGUAACACGUGAGUAACCUGCCCUUGACUUUGGUAUAACUUCAGGAAACUGGGGCUAAUACCGGAUAGGAGCUCCUGCUGCAUGGUGGGGGUUGGAAAGUUUCGGCGGUUGGGGAUGGACUCGCGGCUUAUCAGCUUGUUGGUGGGGUAGUGGCUUACCAAGGCUUUGAAGGGUAGCCGGCCUGAGAGGGUGACCGGCCACAUUGGGACUAAGAUACGGCCCAGACUGCUACGGGAGGCAGCAGUGGGGAAUAUUGCACAAUGGGCGGAAGCCUGAUCCAGCAACGCCGCGUGCGGGAUGACGGCCUUCGGGUUGUAAACCGCUUUCGCCUGUGACGAAGCGUGAGUGACGGUAAUGGGUAAAGAAGCACCGGCUAACUACGUG
rnacentral:rRNA from 1 species